UACGUAGGGGGCAAGCGUUGUCCGGAUUUAUUGGGCGUAAAGAGCGUGUAGGCGGCUUUACAGGUCCGUUGUGAAAACUCGAGGCUCAACCUCGAGACGCCGGUGGAAACCGUAAAGCUAGAGUCCGGAAGAGGAGAGUGGAAUUCCUGGUGUAGCGGUGAAAUGCGCAGAUAUCAGGAGGAACACCGGUGGCGAAGGCGGGUCUCUGGGCAGUAACUGACGCUGAGGAGCGAAAGCGUGGGGAGCAAACAGG
rnacentral:rRNA from 1 species